rnacentral:rRNA from 1 species
GCNGGNGAGUGCUACCAUGCAGUCGACGGUGAACACGGAGCUUGCUCUGUGGGAUCAGUGGCGAACGGGUGAGUAACACGUGAGCAACCUGCCCCUGACUCUGGGAUAAGCGCUGGAAACGGCGUCUAAUACUGGAUAUGUGACGUGACCGCAUGGUCUGCGUCUGGAAAGAAUUUCGGUUGGGGAUGGGCUCGCGGCCUAUCAGCUUGUUGGUGAGGUAAUGGCUCACCAAGGCGUCGACGGGUAGCCGGCCUGAGAGGGUGACCGGCCACACUGGGACUGAGACACGGCCCAGACUCCUACGGGAGGCAGCAGUGGGGAAUAUUGCACAAUGGGCGCAAGCCUGAUGCAGCAACGCCGCGUGAGGGACGACGGCCUUCGGGUUGUAAACCUCUUUUAGCAGGGAAGAAGCGAAAGUGACGGUACCUGCAGAAAAAGCGCCGGCUAACUACGUGCCAGCAGCCGCGGUAAUACGUAGGGCGCAAGCGUUAUCCGGAAUUAUUGGGCGUAAAGAGCUCGUAGGCGGUUUGUCGCGUCUGCUGUGAAAUCCGGAGGCUCAACCUCCGGCCUGCAGUGGGUACGGGCAGACUAGAGUGCGGUAGGGGAGAUUGGAAUUCCUGGUGUAGCGGUGGAAUGCGCAGAUAUCAGGAGGAACACCGAUGGCGAAGGCAGAUCUCUGGGCCGUAACUGACGCUGAGGAGCGAAAGGGUGGGGAGCAAACAGGCUUAGAUACCCUGGUAGUCCACCCCGUAAACGUUGGGAACUAGUUGUGGGGUCCAUUCCACGGAUUCCGUGACGCAGCUAACGCAUUAAGUUCCCCGCCUGGGGAGUACGGCCGCAAGGCUAAAACUCAAAGGAAUUGACGGGGACCCGCACAAGCGGCGGAGCAUGCGGAUUAAUUCGAUGCAACGCGAAGAACCUUACCAAGGCUUGACAUAUACGAGAACGGGCCAGAAAUGGUCAACUCUUUGGACACUCGUAAACAGGUGGUGCAUGGUUGUCGUCAGCUCGUGUCGUGAGAUGUUGGGUUAAGUCCCGCACGAGCGCAACCCUCCGUUCUAUGUGCCAGCACGUAUGUGGGACUCAUGGGAUACUGCGGGGUCAACUCGGAGGAAGGGGGAUGACGUCCAAUCCAUCAUGCCCCUAAGUGCC